rnacentral:rRNA from 1 species
UACGUAGGGUGCGAGCGUUGUCCGGAAUUAUUGGGCGUAAAGGGCUCGUAGGCGGUCUGUCGCGUCGGGAGUGAAAACUCAGGGCUUAACCCUGAGCCUGCUUCCGAUACGGGCAGACUAGAGGUAUGCAGGGGAGAGCGGAAUUCCUGGUGUAGCGGUGAAAUGCGCAGAUAUCAGGAGGAACACCCGUGGCGAAAGCGGCUCUCUGGGACGGUACUGACGCUGAGACGCGAAAGCGUGGGGAGCAAACAGG